ensembl:processed_transcript
ACCCAUCAAUACGCACUGACACAACCCUGUUUAGAACAACUAUCACUCGCAUUUCAACAUUGUUAGGAGAAGUUUGAGUCUCGGAGAUCUGUAUUUCCUCUUUUAAAAGCUUUUGCAAGGUGGAUUUUAGGUGAGACUAUCAACUUUCCUGAGGCGUGAACGCGGAGCGCGUGCUACUGGAAGAGUGCGAGAUCUAGAUCAUUGAGUAUGCAGUAACAGGACACUGGCAUUUGGGCUGAAGGAGAGAUUUCAUCUGUUUUUAGGCUCGCAUGGAGGGUGAGAAUCAUCUGCAGCACUGGAACACAUUAAGGUGUUUUCUGUUGUGUCUUGUAGUCCUUAUCCUUACGACAGAUGUCAACGCAG